GCGAGGGUGGCGGAAUUGGUAGACGCACCAGAUUUAGGUUCUGGCGGGCUUGCUCGUGAGGGUUCGAGUCCCUCCUCUCGCA
rnacentral:tRNA from 1 species